CUGUUCCCCGUGGCCUAUUUUUGGCACACGGAGGCCGCCCGCCAAGUCAGGGGUCAUUCCGAGUCCCGCGGACGAACUUCGCCCACGCCCCCCACCAAGGCUAUAGCCCACCCGUUUUUUGGCCAUUUUUCCGCUGGGGGGUCUUGGGACCCCGACCUUCGGGGGCUGAUUUUUGGGAGCGGCUGUGCCCGUGGCCUUUAAUUGGCACACGGAUGCCCCCCGCCAAGUCUGGUGCCAUUCCGAGUCCCGCGGACGAACUUCGCCCACGCCGCCCACCAAGGCUAUAGCCCACCCGUUUUUUGGCCAUUUUUCCGCUGGGGGGUCUUGGGACCCCGACCUUCGGGGGCUGAUUUUUGGGCGCGGCUGUGCCCGUGGCCUAUUUUUGGCACACGGAGGCCGCCCGCCAAGUCUGGGGCCAUUCCGAGUCCCGCGGACGAACUUCGCCCACGCCCCCCACCAAGGCUAUAGCCCACCCGUUUUUUGGCCUUUUUUCCGCUGGGGGGUCUUGGGACCCCGACCUUCGGGGGCUGAUUUUUGGGCGCGGCUGUGCCCGUGGCCUAUUUUUCGCACACGGAGGCCGCCCGCCAAGUCUGGGGCCAUUCCGAGUCCCGCGGACGAACAUCGCCCACGCCCCCCACCAAAGGCUAUAGCCCACCCGUUUUUUGGCCAUUUUUCCGCUGGGGGGUCUUGGACCCCGACCUUCGGGGGCUGAUUUUUGGGGGCGGCUGUGCCCGUGGCCCUAUUUUUGGCACACGGAGGCCGCCCGUCAAGUCUGGGGCCAUUCCGAGUCACGCGGACGAACUUCGCCCACGCCCCCCACCAAGGCUAUAGCCCACCCGUUUUUUGGCUAUUUUUCCGCUGGGGGGUCUUGGGACCCCGACCUUCGGGGGCUGAUUUUUGGGCGCGGCUGUGCCCGUGGCCUAUUUUUGGCACACGGAGGCCGCCCGCCAAGUAUGGUGCCAUUCCGAGUCCCGCGGACGAACUUCGCCCACGCCCCCCACCAAGGCUAUAGCCCACCCGUUUUUUGGCCAUUUUUCCGCUGGGGGGUCUUGGGACCCCGACCUUCGGGGGCUGAUUUUUGGGCGCGGCUGUGCCCGUGGCCUAUUUUUGGCACACGGAGGCCGCCCGCCAAGUCUGGGGCCAUUCCGAGUCCCGCGGACGAACUUCGCCCACGCCCCCCACCAAGGCUAUAGCCCACCCGUUUUUUGGCCAUUUUUCCGCUGGGGGGUCUUGGGACCCCGACCUUCGGGGGCUGAUUUUUGGGCGCGGCUGUGCCCGUGGCCUAUUUUUGGCACACAGAGGCCGCCCGCCAAGUAUGGUGCCAUUCCGAGUCCCGCGGACGAACUUCGCCCACGCCCCCCACCAAGGCUAUAGCCCACCCGUUUUUUGGCCUUUUUUCCGCUGGGGGGUCUUGGGACCCCGACCUUCGGGGGCUGAUUUUUGGGCGCGGCUGUGCCCGUGGCCUAUUUUUGGCACACGGAGGCCGCCCGCCAAGUCUGGGGCCACUCCGAGUCCCCCGGACGAACUUCGCCCACGCCCCCCACCAAGGCUAUAGCCCACCCGUUUUUUGGCAUUUUUCCGCUGGGGGGUCUUGGCACCCCGACCUUCGGGGACUAAUUUUUGGGCGCGGCUGUACCCGUGGCCUAUUUUUGGCACACGGAGGCCACCCGCAAAGUCUGGGGCCAUUCCGAGUCCUACGGACGAACUUCGCCCACGCCCCCCACCAAGGCUAUAGCCCACCCGUUUUUUGGCCAUUUUUCCGCUGGGGGGUCUUGGCACCCCGACCUUCGGGGACUAAUUUUUGGGCGCGGCUGUACCCGUGGCCUAUUUUUGGCACACGGAGGCCACCCGCAAAGUUUGGGGCCAUUCCGAGUCCUACGGACGAACUUCGCCCACGCCCCCCACCAGGGCUAUAGCCCACCCGUUUUUUGGCCAUUUUUCCGCUGGGGGGUCUUGGCACCCCGACCUUCGGGGGCUAAUUUUUGGGUGCGGCUGUGCCCGUGGCCUAUUUUUGGCACACGAGGGCCGCCCACAAAGUCUGGCGCCAUUCCCAGUCCUGCGGACGAACUUCGCCCGCGCCCCCCACCAAGGCUAUAGCCCACCCGUUUUUUGUCCAUUUUUCCGCUGGGGGGUCGUGGCACCCCGACCUUCGUUAGCUAAUUUUUGGGUGCGGCUGUGCCCGUGGCCUAUUUUUGGCACACGAGGGCCGCCCGCAAAGUCUGGGGCCAUUCCGAGUCCUGCGGACGAACUUCGCCCUUGCCCCCCACCAAGGCUAUAGCCCACCCAUUUUUUGGCCAUUUUUCCGCUGGGGGGUCUUGGCACCCCGACCUUCGGGGGCUAAUUUUUGGGCGCGGCUGUGCCCGUGGCCUAUUUUUGGCACACGGAGGACGCCACUAUGUCUGGGGCCAUUCCGAGUCCGGUGGACGAACUUCACCCACGCCCCCCACCAAGGCUAUAGCCCACCCGUUUUUUGGCCAUUUUUCCGCUGGGGGGUCUUGGCACCCCGACCUUCGGGGACUAAUUUUUGGGCGCGGCUGUACCCGUGGCCUAUUUUUGGCACACGGAGGCCACCCGCAAAGUCUGGGGCCAUUCCGAGUCCUACGGACGAACUUCGCCCACGCCCCCCACCAAGGCUAUAGCCCACCCGUUUUUUGGCCAUUUUUCCGCUGGGGGGUCUUGGCACCCCGACCUUCGGGGACUAAUUUUUGGGCGCGGCUGUACCCGUGGCCUAUUUUUGGCACACGGAGGCCGCCUGCAAAAUCUGGGGCCAUUCCGAGUCCUGCGGACGAACUUCGCCCGCGCCCCCCACCAAGGCUAUAGCCCACCCGUUUUUUGGCCAUUUUUCCGCUGGGGGGCCGUGGCACCCCGACCUUCNNNNNNNNNNNNNNNNNNNNNNNNNNNNNNNNNNNNNNNNNNNNNNNNNNNNNNNNNNNNNNNNNNNNNNNNNNNNNNNNNNNNNNNNNNNNNNNNNNNNGUCUGGGGCCAUUCCGAGUCCUGCGGACGAACUUCGCCCUCGCCCCCCACCAAGGCUAUAGCCCACCCAUUUUUUGGCCAUUUUUCCGCUGGGGGGUCUUGGCACCCCGACCUUCGGGGGCUAAUUUUUGGGCGCGGCUGUGCCCGUGGCCUAUUUUUGGCACACGGAGGACGCCCGCUAUGUCUGGGGCCAUUCCGAGUCCGGUGGACGAACUUCACCCACGCCCCCCACCAAGGCUAUAGCCCACCCGUUUAUUGGCCAUUUUUCCGCUGGGGGGUUCUGGCACCCCGACCUUCGGGGGCUAAUUUUUGGGCGCGGAUGUACCCGUAGCCUAUUUUUGGCACACGGAGGCCGCCCGCAAAGUCUGGGGCCAUUCCGAGUCCGGCGGACGAACUUCGCCCACGCCCCCCACCAAGGCUAUAGCCCACCCGUUUUUUGGCCAUUUUUCCGCUGGGGGGUCUUGGCACCCCGACCUUCGGGGACUAAUUUUUGGGCGCGGCUGUACCCGUGGCCUAUUUUUGGCACACGGAGGCCACCCGCAAAGUUUGGGGCCAUUCCGAGUCCUACGGACGAACUUCGCCCACGCCCCCCACCAAGGCUAUAGCCCACCCGUUUUUUGGCCAUUUUUCCGCUGGGGGGUCUUGGCACCCCGACCUUCGGGGACUAAUUUUUGGGUGCGGCUGUGCCCGUGGCCUAUGUUUGGCACACGAAGGCCGCCCACAAAGUCUGGCGCCAUUCCCAGUCCUGCGGACGAACUUCGCCCGCGCCCCCCACCAAGGCUAUAGCCCACCCGUUUUUUGUCCAUUUUUCCGCUGGGGGGUCGUGGCACCCCGACCUUCGUGGGCUAAUUUUUGGGUGCGGCUGUGCCCGUGGCCUAUUUUUGGCACACGAAGGCCGCCCGCAAAGUCUGGGGCCAUUCCGAGUCCUGCGGACGAACUUCGCCCUCGCCCCCCACCAAGGCUAUAGCCCACCCAUUUUUUGGCCAUUUUUCCGCUGGGGGGUCUUGGCACCCCGACCUUCGGGGGCUAAUUUUUGGGCGCGGCUGUGCCCGUGGCCUAUUUUUGGCACACGGAGGACGCCCCUAAGUUUGGGGCCAUUCCGAAUCCGGUGGACGAACUUCACCCACGCCCCCCACCAAGGCUAUAGCCCACCCGUUUUUUGGCCAUUUUUCCGCUGGGGGGUCUUGGCACCCCGACCUUCGGGGACUAAUUUUUGGGCGCGGCUGUACCCGUGGCCUAUUUUUGGCACACGGAGGCCACCCGCAAAGUCUGGGGCCAUUCCGAGUCCUACGGACGAACUUCGCCCACGCCCCCCACCAAGGCUAUAGCCCACCCGUUUUUUGGCCAUUUUUCCGCUGGGGGGUCUUGGCACCCCGACCUUCGGGGACUAAUUUUUGGGCGCGGCUGUACCCGUGGCCUAUUUUUGGCACACGGAGGCCACCCGCAAAGUUUGGGGCCAUUCCGAGUCCUACGGACGAACUUCGCCCACGCCCCCCACCAAGGCUAUAGCCCACCCGUUUUUUGGCCAUUUUUCCGCUGGGGGGUCUUGGCACCCCGACCUUCGGGGGCUAAUUUUUGGGUGCGGCUGUGCCCGUGGCCUAUUUUUGGCACACGAGGGCCGCCCACAAAGUCUGGCGCCAUUCCCAGUCCUGCGGACGAACUUCGCCCGCGCCCCCCACCAAGGCUAUAGCCCACCCGUUUUUUGUCCAUUUUUCCGCUGGGGGGUCGUGGCACCCCGACCUUCGUUAGCUAAUUUUUGGGUGCGGCUGUGCCCGUGGCCUAUUUUUGGCACACGAGGGCCGCCCGCAAAGUCUGGGGCCAUUCCGAGUCCGGCGGACGAACUUCGCCCUCGCCCCCCACCAAGGCUAUAGCCCACCCAUUUUUUGGCCAUUUUUCCGCUGGGGGUUCUUGGCACCCCGACCUUCGGGGGCUAAUUUUUGGGCGCGGCUGUGCCCGUGGCCUAUUUUUGGCACACGGAGGACGCCGCUAUGUCUGGGGCCAUUCCGAGUCCGGUGGACGAACUUCACCCACGCCCCCCACCAAGGCUAUAGCCCACCCGUUUAUUGGCCAUUUUUCCGCUGGGGGGUUCUGGCACCCCGACCUUCGGGGGCUAAUUUUUGGGCGCGGAUGUACCCGUAGCCUAUUUUUGGCACACGGAGGCCGCCCGCAAAGUCUGGGGCCAUUCCGAGUCCUACGGACGAACUUCGCCCACGCCCCCCACCAAGGCUAUAGCCCACCCGUUUUUUGGCCAUUUUUCCGCUGGGGGGUCUUGGCACCCCGACCUUCGGGGACUAAUUUUUGGGUGCGGCUGUGCCCGUGGCCUAUGUUUGGCACACGAGGGCCGCCCACAAAGUCUGGCGCCAUUCCCAGUCCUGCGGACGAACUUCGCCCGCGCCCCCCACCAAGGCUAUAGCCCACCCGUUUUUUGUCCAUUUUUCCGCUGGGGGGUCGUGGCACCCCGACCUUCGUGGGCUAAUUUUUGGGUGCGGCUGUGCCCGUGGCCUAUUUUUGGCACACGAGGGCCGCCCGCAAAGUCUGGGGCCAUUCCGAGUCCUGCGGACGAACUUCGCCCUCGCCCCCCACCAAGGCUAUAGCCCACCCAUUUUUUGGCCAUUUUUCCGCUGGGGGGUCUUGGCACCCCGACCUUCGGGGGCUAAUUUUUGGGCGCGGCUGUGCCCGUGGCCUAUUUUUGGCACACGGAGGACGCCACUAUGUCUGGGGCCAUUCCGAGUCCGGUGGACGAACUUCACCCACGCCCCCCACCAAGGCUAUAGCCCACCCGUUUUUUGGCCAUUUUUCCGCUGGGGGGUCUUGGCACCCCGACCUUCGGGGACUAAUUUUUGGGCGCGGCUGUACCCGUGGCCUAUUUUUGGCACACGGAGGCCGCCCGCAAAGUCUGGGGCCAUUCCGAGUCCUACGGACGAACUUCGCCCACGCCCCCCACCAAGGCUAUAGCCCACCCGUUUUUUGGCCAUUUUUCCGCUGGGGGGUCUUGGCACCCCGACCUUCGGGGACUAAUUUUUGGGCGCGGCUGUACCCGUGGCCUAUUUUUGGCACACGGAGGCCGCCCGCAAAAUCUGGGGCCAUUCCGAGUCCUGCGGACGAACUUCGCCCACGCCCCCCACCAAGGCUAUAGCCCACCCGUUUUUUGGCCAUUUUUCCGCUGGGGGGUCUUGGCACCCCGACCUUCGGGGACUAAUUUUUGGGCGCGGCUGUACCCGUGGCCUAUUUUUGGCACACGGAGGCCGCCUGCAAAAUCUGGGGCCAUUCCGAGUCCUGCGGACGAACUUCGCCCACGCCCCCCACCAAGGCUAUAGCCCACCCGUUUUUUGGCCAUUUUUCCGCUGGGGGGUCGUGGCACCCCGACCUUCGUUAGCUAAUUUUUGGGUGCGGCUGUGCCCGUGGCCUAUUUUUGGCACACGAAGGCCGCCCGCAAAGUCUGGGGCCAUUCAGAAUUAUGAGGACGAACUUCGCCCGCGCCCCCCACCAAGGUUAUAGCCCACCCGUUUUUUGUCCAUUUUUCCGCUAGGUGGUCUUGGCACCCCGACCUUCGGGGGCUAAUUUUUAGGUGCGGCUGUGCCCGUGGCCUAUUUUUGGCACACGAGGGCUGCCCGCAAAGUCUGGGGCCAUUCCGAGUCCUGCGGACGAACUUCGCCCGCGCCCCCAACCAAGGCUAUAGCCCACCCGUUUUUUGGCCAUUUUUCCGCUGGGGGGUUCUGGCACCCCGACCUUCGGGGGCUAAUUUUUGGGUGCGGCUGUGCCCGUGGCCUAUUUUUGGCACAGGAGGGCCGCCCGCAAAGUCUGGGGCCAUUCCGAGUACGCGUGCGGACGAACUUCGCCCACGCCCCCCACCAAGGCUAUAGCCCACCCGUUUUUGUGGCCUUUUUCCAAUAGACGAACUUGGCGUCCCGGCCUUCGGGCGGUUAUUUUUGGGCGUGGCUGUGUCCGCGGCCUAUUUUUAGCGCACGGAUGUGCCCCGGAAAGUCUCGCGCCAUUCCGAGUCCGGCGGACGAAGUUGGCCAGCCCCACCCCCCAAGGCUAUAGCCCACCCGUUUUUGUGGCCUUUUUCCGCGGGACGAACAUGGCGCCCCGGCCUUCGGGCGGUUAUUUUUGGGCGCGGCUGUGCCCGCGGCCUAUUUUUGGCACACGGAGGUGCCUCGCAAAGUCUCGCGCCAUUCCGAGUCCGGCGGACGAAGUUGGCCAGCCCCACCCACCAAGGCUAUAGCCCACCCGUUUUUGUGGCCAUUUUUCCGCUGGGGGGUCUUGGCACCCCGACCUUCGGGGACUAAUUUUUGGGCGCGGCUGUACCCGUGGCCUAUUUUUGGCACACGGAGGCCACCCGCAAAGUCUGGGGCCAUUCCGAGUCCUACGGACGAACUUCGCCCACGCCCCCCACCAAGGCUAUAGCCCACCCGUUUUUUGGCCAUUUUUCCGCUGGGGGGUCUUGGCACCCCGACCUUCGGGGACUAAUUUUUGGGCGCGGCUGUACCCGUGGCCUAUUUUUGGCACACGGAGGCCGCCUGCAAAGUCUGGGGCCAUUCCGAGUCCUGCGGACGAACUUCGCCCACGCCCCCACCAAGGCUAUAGCCCACCCGUUUUUUGGCCAUUUUUCCGCUGGGGGGUCUUGGCACCCCGACCAUCUGGGGCUAAUUUUUGGGCGCGGCUGUGCCCGUGGCCUAUUUUUGGCACACGAGGGCCGCCCGCAAAGUCUGGGGCCAUUCCGAGUCCUGCGGACGAACUUCGCCCGCGCCCCCAACCAAGGCUAUAGCCCACCCGUUUUUUGGCCAUUUUUCCGCUGGGGGGUUCUGGCACCCCGACCUUCGGGGGCUAAUUUUUGGGUGCGGCUGUGCCCGUGGCCUAUUUUUGGCACAGGAGGGCCGCCCGCAAAGUCUGGGGCCAUUCCGAGUCCUGCGGACGAACUUCGCCCACGCCCCCCACCAAGGCUAUAGCCCACCCGUUUUUUGGCCAUUUUUCCACUGGGGGGUCUUGGCACCCCGACCUUCGGGGGAUAAUUUUUGGGCGCGGCUGUUCCCGUGGCCUAUUUUUGGCACACGGAGGCCGCCCGGAAAGUUUGGGGCCAUUCCGAGUCCGGCGGACGAACUUCGCCCACGCCCCCCACCAAGGCUAUAGCCCACCCGUUUUUUGGCCAUUUUUCCGCUGGGGGGUCUUGGCACCCCGACCUUCGGGGGCUAAUUUUUUAGCGCGGCUGUGCCCGUCUUCUGUUUUUGGCAAACGAGGGUCGCCCGCAAAGUCUGGGGCCAUACCGAGUCUUGCGGACGAACUUCGCCCGCGCCCCCCUCCAAGGCUAUAGCCCACCCGUUUUUUGUCCAUUUUUCCGCUGGGGGGUCGUGGCACCCCGACCUUCGGGGGCUAACUUUUGGGCGCGGCUGUUCCCGUGGCCUAUUUUUGGUACACGGAGGCCGCCCGCAAAGUCUGGGGCCACCCGUUUUUGUGGCCUUUUUCCGCUGGACGAACAUGUCGCCCCGGCCUUCGGGCAGUUAUUUUUUGGUGCGGCUGUGCCCGCGGCCUAUUUUUGGCACACGGAGGUGCCUCGAAACGUCUCCCGCCAUUCCGAGUCCGGAGGACGAUGUUGGCCAGCCCCACCCCCCAAGGCUAUAGCCCACCCGUUUUUGUGGCCUUUUUCCGCUGGACGAAGUGGCGCCCCGGCCUUCGGGCGGCUAUUUUUGGGCGCGGCUGUGCCCGCGGCCUAUUUUUGGCACACCAAGGCGCCUCGCAAGGUCUCGCACCAUUCCGAGUCCGGCGGACGAAGUUGGCCAGCCCCACCCACCAAUGCUAUAGCCCACCCGUUUUUGUGGGCUUUUUCCGCUGGACGAACUUAGCGCCUUGGCCUUCUGGCAGUUAUUUUUUAGCGCGGCUGUGCCUGCGGCCUAUUUUUGGCACAUGGAGGUGCCUCGCAAAGUCUUACGCCAUUCCGAGUCCGGCGGAUGAAGUUGGCCAGGCCGACCCCCCAAGGCUAUAGCCCACCCGUUUUUGUGGCCUUUUUUCCGCUGGACGAAGUUGGCGCCCCGGCCUUCGGGCGGUAAUUUUUGGGCACGGCUGUGCCCGCAGCCUAUUUUUGGUACACGGAGUUGCCUCGCAAAGUCUCGCGGCAUUCCGAGUCCGGCGGACGAAGUUGGCCAGCCCCACCCCCCAAGGCUAUAGCCCACCCGUUUUUGUGGCCUUUUUCCAAUGGACGAACUUGGCGUCCCGGCCUUCGGGCGGUUAUUUUUGGGCGUGGCUGUGCCCGCGGCCUAUUUUUGGCACAUGGAGGCACCUCGCAAAGUCUCACGCCAUUUUGUGUCCGGUGGACGAAGUUGGCCCGCCCCACCCCCCAAGGCUAUAGCCCACCCGUUUUUGUGGCCUUUUUCCACUGGUCGAACUUGGCGCCCCGGCCUUCGGGUGGUUAUUUUUGGGCGCGGCUUUGCCCGCGGCCUAUUAUUGGCACACGGAGGCGCCUCGCAAAGUCUCGCGCCAUUCCGAGUCCGGCGGAGGAAGUUUGCCCGCCCCACCCCCCAAGGCUAUAGCCCACCCAUUUUUGUGGCCUUUUUCCGCUGGACGAACUUGGCGCCCCGUCCUUCGGGCGGUUAUUAUUGGGAGCGGCUGUGCCCGCGGCCUAUUAUUGGCACACGGAGGCACCUCACAAAGUCUCGCGCCAUUCCGGGUCCGGCGGACGAAGUUGGCCAGCCCCACCCCCCAAGGCUAUAGCCCACCCGUUUUUGUGGCCUUUUUCCGCUGGUCGAACUUGGCGCCCCGGCCUUCGGGUGGUUAUUUUUGGGCGCGGCUGUGCCCGCGGCCUAUUAUUGGCACACGGAGGCACCUCGCAAAGUCUCGCGCCAUUACGAGUCCGGCUGAGGAAGUCGGUCAGCCCCACCCCCCAAGGCUAUAGCCCACCCGUUUUUUUGGGCUUUUUCCGCUGGACGAAUUUGGCGCCCCGGCCUUCGGGUGGUUAUUUUUGGGCGCGGCUGUGCCCGCGGCCUAUUUUUGGCACAUGGAGGCGCCUGGCAAAGUCUCGCGCCAUUCCGAGUCCGGCGGACGAAGUUGGCCAGCCCCAUCCCCCAAGGCUAUAGCCCACCCGUUUUUGUGGGCUUUUUCCGCUGGACGAACUUGGCGCCCCGACCUUCUGGCGCUUAUUUUUGGGCGCGGCUGUGUCCGUGAACUAUUUUUGGCAUACAGAGCUGCCUCGCAAAGUCUCGCGCCAUUCCGAGUCCGGCGGACGAAGUUGGCCAGCCCCACCCCACAAGGCUAUAGCCCACCCGUUUUUAUGGGCUUUUUCCGCUGGACGAACUUGGCGCCCCGACCUUCUGGCGCUUAUUUUUGGGCGCGGCUGUGUCCGUGAACUGUUUUUGGCAUACGGAGCUGCCUCGCAAAGUCUCGCGCCAUUCCGAGUCCGGCGGACGAAGUCGGCCAGGCCGACCCCCCAAGGCUAUAGCCGACCCGUUUUUGUGGCCUUUUUUCCGCUGGACGAAGUUGGCGCCCCGGCCUUCGGGCGGUAAUUUUUGGGUGCGGCUGUGCCCGCGGCCUAUUUUUGGUACACGGAGUUGCCUCGCAAUGUCUCGCGGCAUUCAGAGUCCGGCGGACGAAGUUGGCCAGCCCCACCCCCCAAGGCUAUAGCCCACCCGUUUUUGUGGCCUUUUUCCAAUAGACGAACUUGGCGUCCCGGCCUUCGGGCGGUUAUUUUUGGGCGUGGCUGUGUCCGCGGCCUAUUUUUAGCGCACGGAUGUGCCCCGGAAAGUCUCGUGCCAUUCCGAGUCCAGCGGACGAAGUUGGCCAGCCCCACCCCCCAAGGCUAUAGCCCACCCGUUUUUGUGGCCUAUUUCCGCGGGACGAACAUGUCGCCCCGGCCUUCGGGCGGUUAUUUUUGGGCGCGGCUGUGCUCGCGGCCUAUUUUUGGCACACGGAGGUGCCUCGCAAAGUCUCGCGCCAUUCCGAGUCCGGCGGACGAAGUUGGCCAGCCCCACCCCCCAAGGCUUUAGCCCACCCGUUUUUGUGGGCUUUUUCCGCUGGACGAACUUGGCGCCCCGGCCUUCGGGUGGUUAUUUUUGGGCGCGGCUUUGCCCGUGGCCUAUUUUUGGCACACAUAGGCGCCUCACAAAGUCUCGCGCCAUUCCAAGUCCGGCGGACGAAGUGGGCCAGCCCCACCCCCCAAGGCUAUAGCCCACCGGUUUUUGUGGCCUUUUUCCGCUGGACGAACUUGGCGCCCCGGCCUUCGGGCAGUUAUUUUUGGGCGCGGCUGUGCCCGCGGCCUAUUGUUCGCACAUGGAUGCGCCUCACAAAGUCUCGCGCCAUUCCAAGCCGGGCGGACGAAGUUGGCCAGCCCCACCCCCCAAGGCUAUAGCCAGCCCGUUUUUGUGGCCUUUUUCCGCUGGACGAACUUGGCGCCCCGGCCUUUGCGUGGUUAUUUUUGGGCGCGGCUGUGCCCGUGGCCUAUUUUUGGCACACGGAGGCGCCUCGCAAAGUCUUACGCCUUUCCGAGUCCGGCGGACGAAGUUGGCCAGCCCCACCCCCCAAGGCUAUAGUCCACCCGUUUUUGUGGCCUUUUUCCGCUGGUCGAACUUGGCGCCCCGGCCUUUGGGUGGUUAUUUUUGGACGCGGCUGUGUCCGUGGCCUAUUUUUGGCACACGGAGGCGCCUCGCAAAGUCUCGCGCCAUUCCGAGUCCGGCGGACGAAGUUGGCCAGCCCCACCCACCAAGGCUAUUGCCCACCUGUUUUUGUGGGCUUUUUCCGUUGGACGAACUUGGCGCCGCGGCCUUCGGGCGGUUAUUUUUGGGCGCGGCUGUUCCCGCGGUGGUUAUUUUUGGUGCACGUAGCUGCUUCACAAAGUCUCGCGCCAUUCCGAGUCCGGCGGACGAAGUCGGCCAACCCCACCCCCCAAGGCUAUAGCCCACCCGUUUUUGUGGCCUUUUUCCGCUGGACGAACGUGGCGCCCCGGCCUUCGGGCGGUUAUUUUUGGGCGCGGCUGUUCCCACGGCCUAUUUUUGGCACACGGACGCGCCUCACAAAGUCUCGCGCCAUUCCGAGUCCGGCGGACGAAGUUGGGCAUCCCCACCCCCCAAGGCUAUAGCCCACCUGUUUUUGUGGGCUUUUUCCGCUGGACGAACUUGGCGCCCCGGCCUUCGGGCGGUUAUUUUUGGGUGCGGCUGUGCCCGCGGCCUAUUUUUGGCACACAUAGGUGCCUCGCAAAGUCUCGCGCCAUUCCGAGUCCGGCGGACGGAUUCGGCCAGCCCCACCCCCCAAGGCUAUAGCCCACCAGUUUUGGUGGCCUUGUUCCGCUGGUCGAACUUGGCGCACCGGCCUUCGGGCGGUUAUUUUUGGAUGCGGCUGUGCCCACGGCCUAUUUUUGUCACACGGACGCGCCUCACAAAGUAUCGCGCCAUUCCGAGUCCGUCGGACGGAUUCGGCCAGCCCAACCCCCCGAGGCUAUAGCCCACCCGUUUUUGUGGGCUUUUUCCGCUGGACGAACUUGGCGCCCCGGCCAUCGGGCGGUUAUUUUUGGCCGCGGCUGUGACCGCAGUCUAUUUUUGGCACACGGAGGUGCCUCGCAAAGUCUCGCGCCAUUCCGAGUCCGGCGGACGAAGUUGGCCAGCCCCACCCCCCAAGGCUUUAGCCCACCCGUUUUUGUGGGCUUUUUCCGCUGGACGAACUUGGCGCCCCGGCCUUCGGGUGGUUGUUUUUGGGCGCGGCUGUGCCCGUGGCCUAUUUUUGGCACACAUAGGCGCCUCACAAAGCCUCGCGCCAUUCCAAGUCCGGCGGACGAAGUGGGCCAGCCCCACCCCUCAAGGCUAUAGCCCACCCGUUUUUGUGGCCUUCUUCCGCUGGACGAACUUGGCGCCCCGGCCUUCGGGCAGUUAUUUUUGGGCGCGGCUGUGCCCGCGGCCGAUUUUUGGCACAUGGAUGCGCCUCACAAAGUCUCGCGCCAUUCCAAGUCGGGCAGACGAAGUUGGCCAGCCCCACCCCCCAAGGCUAUAGCCAGCCCGUUUUUGUGGCCUUUUUCCGCUGGACGAACUUGGCGCCCCGGCCUUUGCGUGGUUAUUUUUGGGCGCGGCUGUGCCCGCAGCCUAUUAUUGGCACACGGAGGCACCUCGCAAAGUCUCGCGCCAUUUCGAGUCCGGCGGAGGAAGUUUGCCCGCCCCACCCCCCGAGGCUAUAGCCCACCCGUUUUUGUGGGCUUUUUCCGCUGGACGAACUUGGCGCCCCGGCCAUCGGGCGGUUAUUUUUGGCCGCGGCUGUGACCGCAGUCUAUUUUUGGCACACGGAGGUGCCUCGCAAAGUCUCGCGGCAUUCCGAGUCCGGCGGACGAAGUUGGCCAGCCCCACCCCACAAGGCUAUAGCCCACCCGUUUUUAUGGGCUUUUUCCGCUGGACGAACUUGGCGCCCCGACCUUCUGGCGCUUAUUUUUGGGCGCGGCUGUGUCCGUGAACUGUUUUUCGCAUACGGAGCUGCCUCGCAAAGUCUCGCGCCAUUCCGAGUCCGGCGGACGAAGUCGGCCUACCCCACCCCCCAAGGCUAUAGCCCACCCGUUUUUGUGGCCUUUUUCCACUGGACGAACUUGGCGCCCCGGCCAUCGGGCGGUUAUUUUUGGGCGCGGCUGUGCCCGCGGCCUAUUUUUGGCACACGGAGGCGCCUUGCAAUGUCUGGCGCCAUUCCGAGUCCGGCGGACGAAGUUUGCCAGCCCCACCCCCCAAGGCUAUAGCCCACCCGUUUUUGCGGCCUUUUUCCUCUGGACGAACUUGGCGCCCCGGCCUUCGGGCAGUUCUUUUUGGGUACGGCAGUGCCCGCGGCCUAUUUGUUGCACACGGAGGCGCCUCGCAAAUUCUCGCGCCAUUCCGAGUCCGGCGGACGAAGUUGGCCAGGCCCACCCCCCAAGGCUAUAGCCCACCCGUUUUUGUGGCCUUUUUCCAAUGGACGAACUUGGCGCCCCGGCCUUCGGGCGGUUAUUUUUGGGCGCGGCUGUGACCGUGGGCUAUUUUUGGCACACGGAGGUGCCUCGUAAAGUCUCGCGCCAUUCCGAGUCCGGCGGACGAAGUCGGCCAGCCCCACCCCCCAAGUCUAAAGCCCACCCGUUUUUGCGGCCUUUUUCCCCUGGACGAACUUGGCGCCCCGGCCUUCGGGCGGUUAUUUUUGGGCGCGGCUGUGCCCGCGGCCUAUUUUUGGCACACGGAGGUGCCUCGCAAAGUCUCGCGCCAUUCCGAGUCCGGCGGACGAAGUUGGCCAGCCCCACCCCCCAAGGCUAUAGCCCACCCGUUUGUGUGGCCUUUUUCCAAUGGACGAACUUGGCGCCCCGGCCAUCGGGCGGUUAUUUUUGGGCGCGGCUGUGACCGCAGCCUAUUUUUGGCACACGGAGGUGCCUCGCAAAGUCUCGCGCCAUUCUGAGUCCGGCGGACGAAGUUGACCAGCCCCACCCCCCAAGGCUAUAGCCCACCCGUUUUUGUGGCCUUGUUCCACUGGACGAACAUGGCGCCCCGGCCUUCGGGUGGUUAUUUUUGGGCGCGGCUGUGCCUGCGGCCUAUUUUUGGCACACGGAAGUGCUUCGCAAAAUCUCGCGCCAUACCGAGUCCGGUGGACGAAGUGGGCCAGCCCCACCCCCCAAGGCUAUAGCCCACCCGUUUUUGUGGGCUUUUUCCACUGGACGAACUUGGCGCCCCGGCCAUCGGGCGGUUAUUUUUGGGCGUUGCUGUGCCCACGGCCUAUUUUUGGCACACAGAGGCGCCUUACGAAGUCUCGCGCCAUUCCGAGUCCGGCGGACGAAGUUGGCCAGCCCCACCCCCCAAGGCUAUAGCCCACCCAUUUUUGUGGCCUUUUUCCAAUGGACGAACGUGGCGCCCCGGCCAUCGAGCGGUUAUUUUUGGGCGCGGCUGUGCCCGCAGCCUAUUUUUGGCACACGGAGGCGCCUUGCAAAGUCUGGCGCCAUUCCGAGUCCGGCGGACGAAGUUUGCCAGCCCCACCCCCCAAGGCUAUAGCCCACCCGUUUUUGCGGCCUUUUUCCGCUGGACGAACUUGGCGCCCCGGCCUUCGGGCAGUUAUUUUUGGGUACGGCAGUGCCCGCGGCCUAUUUUUGGCAAACGGAAGUGCUUCGCAAAAUCUCGCGCCAUACCGAGUCCGGCGGACGAAGUUGGCCAGCCCCACCCCCCAAGGCUUUAGCCCACCCGUUUUUGUGGGCUUUUUCCGCUGGACGAACUUGGCGCCCCGGCCUUCGGGUGGUUAUUUUUGCGCGCGGCUGUGCUCGUGGCCUAUUUUGGCACACAUAGGCGCCUCGCAAAAUCUCGCGCCAUUCCGAGCCCGGUGGACGAAGUGGGCCAGCCCCACCCCCCAAGGCUAUAGCCCACCCGUUUUUGUAGGCUUUUUCCACUGGACGAACUUGGCGCCCCGGCCAUCGGGCGGUUAUUUUUGGGCGCUGCUGUGCCCGCGGCCUAUUUUUGGCACACGGAGGCGCCUCGCAAAGUCUCACGCCAUUGCGAGUCCGGCAGACGAAGUUGGCCAGCCCCACCCCCCAAGGCUAUAGCCCACCCGUUUUUGUGGCCUUUUUCCACUGGACGAACUUGGCGACCGGGCCUUCGGGCUGUUAUUUUUGGGCGCGGCUGUGCCCGCGGCCUAUUUUUGGCAUGCGAAGGCACCUCGCAAAGUCUCGCGCCAUUCCGAGUCCGGCGGACGAAGUUGGCCAGCCCACCCCCCAAUGCUAUAGCCCACCCGUUUUUGUGGGCUUUUUCCGCUGGACGAACUUGGCGCCCCGGCCUUCGGGCGGUUAUUUUUGGGCGCGGCUGUGCCCGCGGCCAAUUUUUGGGACACGGAGGCACCUCGCAAUGUCUCGCGCCAUUCCAAGUCCGGCGGACGAAGUUGGCCAGCCCCACCACCCGAGGCUAUAGCCCACCCGUUGUUGUGGCCUUUUUCCGCUGGAUGAAUUUGGCGCCCCGGCCUUUGGGCGGUUAUUUUUGGGCNNNNNNNNNNNNNNNNNNNNNNNNNNNNNNNNNNNNNNNNNNNNNNNNNNNNNNNNNNNNNNNNNNNNNNNNNNNNNNNNNNNNNNNNNNNNNNNNNNNNNNNNNNNNNNNNNNNNNNUUUUGUGGCCUUUUUCCGCUGGACGAACUUGGCUCCCCGGCCUUCAGGCGGUUAUUUUGGGGCGCGGCUGUGCCCGCCAGCUAUUUUUGGCACACGGAGGCGCCUCGCAAAGUCUCGCGCCAUUCCAAGUCCGGCGGACGAAGUUGGCCGGCCCCACCCCCCGAGGCUAUAGCCCACCCGUUUUUGUGGCCUUUUUCCGCUGGACGAACUUGGCGCCCCGGCCUUCGGGCGCUUAUUUUUCGGUACGGCUGUUCCCGCCACCUAUUUUUGGCACACGGAGGCGCCUCGCAAAGUCUCGCGCCAUUCCGAGUCCGGCGGACGAAAUCGGCCAGCCCCACCACCCGAGGCUAUAGCCCACCUGUUGUUGUGGCCUUUUUCCGCUGGACGAAUUUGGCGCCCCGGCCUUUGGGCGGUUAUUUUUGGGCGCGGCUGUGCCCGCGGCCUAUUUUUGGCACACGGAGGCACCUCGCAAAGUCUCACGCCAUUCCGAGUCCGGCGGACGAAGUUGGGCAGCCCUACCCCCCAAGGCUAUAGCCCACCCGUUUUUGUGGCCUUUUUCCACUGGACGAACUUGGCGCCCCGGCCUUCGGGCGGUUAUGUUGGGGCGCGGCUGUGCCCACCACCUAUUUUUGGCACACGGAGGCGCCUCGCAAAGUCUCGCGCCAUUCUAAGUCCGGCGGACGAAGUGGGCCAGCCGACCCCCCGAGGCUAUAGCCCACCCGUUGUUGUGGCCUUUUUCCGCUGGACGAAUUUGGCGGCCCGGCCUUCGGGCGGUUAUUUUUGGGCGCGGCUGUGCCCGAGGCCUAUUUUUGGCACACGGAGGCACCUCGCAAAGUCUCGCGCCAUUCCGAGUCCGGCGGACGAAGUAGGCCGGCCCCACUCCCCGAGGCUAUAGCCCACCCGUUUUUGUGGCCUUUUUCCGCUGGACGAACUUGGCGCCCCGGCCUUCGGGCGGUUAUUUUUGGGCGCGGCUGUGUGCGAGGCCUAUUUUUGGCACACGGAGGCNNNNNNNNNNNNNNNNNNNNNNNNNNNNNNNNNNNNNNNNNNNNNNNNNNNNNNNNNNNNNNNNNNNNNNNNNNNNNNNNNNNNNNNNNNNNNNNNNNNNCCUCGCAAAGUCUCGCGCCAUUCCGAGUCGGCGGACGAAGUUGGCCGGCCCCACCCCCCGAGGCUAUAGCCCACCCGUUUUUGUGGCUUUUUUCCGCUGGACGAACCUGGCGCCCCGUCCUUCGGGCGGUUAUUUUUGGGCACGGCUGUGUGCGAGGCCUAUUUUUGGCACACGGAGGCACCUCGCAAAGUCUCGCGCCAUUCCGAGUCCGGCGGACGAAGUGGGCCGGCCCCACCCCCCGAGGCUAUAGCCCACCCGUUUUUGUGGCUUUUUUCCGCUGGACGAACUUGGCGCCCCGUCCUUCGGGCGGUUAUUUUUGGGCGCGGCUGUGCCCGAGGCCUAUUUUUGGCACACGGAGGUGCCUCGCAAAGUCUCGCGCCAUUCCGAGUCCGGCGGACGAAGUUGGCCAGCCCCACCACCCGAGGCUAUAGCCCACCCGUUGUUGUGGCCUUUUUCCGCUGGACGAAUUUGGCGCCCCGGCCUUUGUUCUGUUAUUUUUGGGCGCGGCUGUGCCCGCGGCCUAUUUUUGGCACACGGAGGCGCCUCGCAAAGUCUCGCGCCUUUCCGAGUCCGGCGGACGAAGUUGGCCAGCCCUACCCCCUAAGGCUAUAGCCCACCCGUUUUUGUGGCCUUUUUCCGCUGGACGAACUUGGCGCCCCGGCCUUCGGGCGGUUAUUUUGGGGCGCGGCUGUGCCCGCCAGCUAUUUUUGGCACACGGAGGCGCCUUGCAAAGUAUCGCGCCAUUCGAAGUCCGGCGGACGAAGUCGGCCGGCCCCACCCCCCGAGGCUAUAGCCCACCCAUUUUUGUGGCCUUUUUCCGCUGGACGAACUUGGCGCCCCGGCCUUCGGGCGCUUAUUUUUGGGUACGGCUGUUCCCGCCACCUAUUUUUGGCACACGGAGGCGCCUCGCAAAGUCUCGCGCCAUUCCGAGUCCGGCGGACGAAGUCGGCCAGCCCCACCACCCGAGGCUAUAGCCCACCUGUUGUUGUGGCCUUUUUCCGCUGGACGAAUUUGGCGCCCCGGCCUUUGGGCGGUUAUUUUUGGGCGCGGCUGUGCCCGCGGCCUAUUUUUGGCACACGGAGGCACCUCGUAAAGUCUCGCGCCAUUCCGAGUCCGGCGGACGAAGUUGGGCAGCCCUACCCCCCAAGGCUAUAGCCCACCCGUUUUUGUGGCCUUUUUCCGCUGGACGAACUUGGCGCCCCGGCCUUCGGGCGGUUAUUUUGGGGCGCGGCUGUGCCCGCCACCUAUUUUUGGCACACGGAGGUGCCUCGCAAAGUCUCGUGCCAUUCUAAGUCCGGCGGAUGAAGUGGGCCAGCCCACCCCCGGAGGCUAUAGCCCACCCGUUGUUGUGGCCUUUUUCCGCUGGACGAAUUUGGCGCCCCGGCCUUCGGGCGGUUAUUUUUGGGCGCGGCUGUGCCCGAGGCCUAUUUUUGGCUCACGGAGGCACCUCGCAAAGUCUCGCGCCAUUCCGAGUCCGGCGGACGAAGUUGGCCAGCCCCACCCCCCAAGGCUAUAGCCCACCCGUUUUUGUGGCCUUUUUCCACUGGAAGAACUUGGCGCCCCGGCCUUCGGGCGGUUAUUUUAGGGUGCGGCUGUGCCCGCCGCCUAUUUUCGGCACACGGAGGUGCAUCGCAAAGUCUCGCGCUAUUCCGAGUCCGGCGGACGAAGUUGGCCAUCCCCACCCCCCAAGGCUAUAGCCCACCCGUUUUUGUGGCCUUUUACCGCUGGAUGAACUUGGCGCCCCGGCCUUCUGGCGGUUAUUUUCGAUGCGGCUGUGCCCGCGGCCUAUUCUUGGCACACAGAGGCGCCUCGCAAACUCUCACGCCAUUCCGAGUCCUGCGGACGAAGUUGGCCAGCCCCACCCGCCAAGGAUAUAGCCCACCCGUUUUUGUGGCCUUUUUCCGCUGGACGAACUUGGCGCCCCGGCCUUCGAGCGGUUAUUUUCGUGCACGGCUGUGCCCGCGGCCAAUUUUUGGCAUACAGAGGCGCCUCGCAAAGUCUCGCGCCAUUCCGAGUCCGGCGGACGAAGUUGGCCAGCCCCACCCCCCAAGGUCAUAGCCCACCCGUUUUUGUGGCCUUUUUCCGCUAGACGAACUUGGCGCCCCGGCCUUCGGGCGGUUAUUUUUUAGCACUGCUGUGCCCGCGGCCUAUAUUUGGCACACGGAGGCACCUCACAAAGUCUCGCGCCAUUUCGAGUUCGGCGGACGAAGUGGGCCGGCGCCACACCCCAAGCCUGUAGCCCACCCGUUUUUGUGGGCUUUUUCCGUUGGACGAACUUGGUGCCCCGGCCUUCGGGCGGUUAUUUUUUGGCGCGGCUGUGCCCGCGGCCUAUUUUUGGCACACGGAGGUGCCUCGCAAAGUCUCACGCCAUUCCGAGUCCGGCAGACGAAGUUGGCCAGCCCCACUCCCCAAUGCUAUAGCCCACCCGUUUUUGUGGCCUUUUUCCGAUGGACGAACUUGGCGCCCCGGCCUUCGGGUGGUUAUUUUUGGGCGCGGCUGUGCACACGGCCUAUUUUUGGCACACAGAGGUGCCUCGCAAAGUCUCACGCCAUUCCGAGUCCGGCGGACAAAGUUGGUCAGCCCCACCCCCCAAGGCUAUAGCCCACCCGUUUUUGUGGCCUUUUUCCGCUGGACGAACUUGGCGCACCGGCCUUCGGGCGGUUAUUUUUUGGCGCGGCUGUUCCCACGGCCUAUUUUUGGCACACGGAGGUGCCUCGCAAAGUCUCGCGCCAUUCCGAGUCCGGCGGACGAAGUCGGCCAGCCCCACCCCCCAAGCCUAUAGCCCACCCGUUUUUGUGGCCUUUUUCCGCUGGACGAACUUGGCGCCCCGGCCUUCGGGCAGUUAUUUUUGGGCGCGGCUGUGUCCGUGGCCUAUUUUUGGUACACAGAGGUGCCUCGCAAAGUCUCGCGCCAUUCCGAGUCCGGCGGACGAAGUUGGCAAGCCCCACCCCCUAAAGCUAUAGCCCACCCGUUUAUGUGGGCUUUUUCCGCUGGACGAACUUGGCGCCCCGGCCUCCGGGCGGUUAUUUUUGGGCGGGGCUAUGCCCGCGGCCAAUUUUUGGCACACGGAGGUGCCUCGCAAAGUCUCGCGCCAUUCCGAGUCCGGCGGACGAAGUCGGCCAGGCCCACCCCCCAAGGCUAUAGCCCACCCGUUUUUUGUGGCCUUUUUCCGCUGGACGAAGUUGGCCAGUCCCACCCCCCGAGGCUAUAGCCCACCCGUUUUUGUGGCCUUUUUUCGCUGGACGAACUUGGUGCCCCGGCCUUCGGGCGGUUAUUUUUGGGCGCGGCUGUGCCCGCGGCCUAUUUUUGGCACACGGAGGCGCCACGCAAAGUCUCGCGCCAUUCCAAGUCCGGCGGACGAAGUAGGCCGGCCCCAUCCCCCGAGGCUAUAGCCCACCCGUUUUUGUGGCCUUUUUCCGCUGGACGAACUUGGCGCCCCGUCCUUCGGGCGGUUAUUUUUGGGCGCGGCUGUGUCCGAGGCCUAUUUUUGGCACACGGAGGCACCUCGAAAAGUCUCGCGCCAUUCCGAGUCCGGCGGACGAAGUGGGCCGGCCCCACAGCCCAAGCCCGUAGCCCACCCGUUUUUGUGGGCUUUUUCCGUUGGACGAACUUGGCGCCCCGGCCUUCGGGCGGUUAUUUUUUGGCGCGGCUGUGCCCGCGGCUUAUUUUUGGCACACGGAGGUGCCUCGCAAAGUCUCGCGCCAUUCCGAGUCCGGCGGACAAAGUUGGCCACCCCACCCACCAAGGCUAUAGCCCACCCGUUUUUGUGGCCUUUUUCCGCUGGACGAACUUGGCGCCCCGGCCUUCGGGCAGUUAUUUUUGGCCGCGGCUGUGUCCGUGGCCUAUUUUUGGUACACACAGGUGCCUCGUAAAGUCUCACGCCAUUCCGAGUCCGGCGGACGAAGUUGGCAGGCCCCAGCCCCCAAGGCUAUAGCCCACCCGUUUAUGUGGGCUUUUCCCGCUGGACGAACUUGGCGCCCCGGCCUUCGGGCUGUUAUUUUUUGGCGGGGCUGUGCCCGCGGCCAAUUUUUGGCACACGGAGGUGCCUCGCAAAGUCUCGCGCCAUUCCGAGUCCGGCGGACGAAGUCGGCCAGCCCCACCCCCCAAGGCUAUAGCCCACCCGUUUUUGUUGCCUUUUUCCGCUGGACGAAGUUGGCGCCCCGGUCUUCGGGCAGUUAUUUUUGGGCACAGCUGUGCCCGUGGCCUAUUUUUGGCACACGGAGGCACCUCGCAAAGUCUCGCGCCAUCCGAGUCCGGCGGACGAAGUUGGCCAGCCCCACCCCCCAAGGCUAUAGCCCACCCGUUUUUGUGGCCUUUUCCAAUGGACGAACUUGGCGCCCCGGCCAUCGAGCGGUUAUUUUUGGGCGCGGCUGUGCCCGCAGCCUAUUUUUGGCACACGGAGGCGCCUUGCAAAGUCUGGUGCCAUUCCGAGUCCGGCGGACGAAGUUUGCCAGCCCCACCCCCCAAGGCUAUAGCCCACCCGUUUUUGCGGCCUUUUUCCGCUGGACGAACUUGGCGCCCCGGCCUUCGGGCAGUUAUUUUUGGGUACGGCAGUGCCCGCGGCCUAUUUUUGGCACACGGAAGUGCUUCGCAAAAUCUCGCGCCAUACCGAGUCCGGCGGACGAAGUUGGCCGGCCCCACCCCCCGAGGCUAUACCCCACCCGUUUUUGUGGCCUUUUUCCACUGGACGAACAUGGCGCCCCGGCCAUCGGGUGGUUAUUUUUUAGCGCGGCUGAGCCCGCGGCCUAUUUUUGGCACACGAAGGCGCCUCGCAAAGUCUGGCGCCAUUCCGAGUCCGGCGGACGAAUUGGCCAUGCCCACCCCCAAGGCUAUAGCCCACCCGUUUUUGUGGGCUUUUUCCGCUGGACGAACUUGGCGCCCCGGCCUUCGGGCAGUUAUUUUUGGGCGCGGCUGCGACCGCGGCCUAUUUUUGGCACACGGAGCUGCCUCGCAAAUUCUCGCGCCAUUCUGAGUCCGGCGGACGAAGUUGGCCAGCCCAACCCCCCAAGUCUAUAGCCCACCCGUUUUUGUGGGCUUUUUCGGCUGGACGAACUUGGCGCCCCGGCCUUCGGGCCGUUAUUUUUGGGCGCGGCAUCGCCCGCGGCCUAUUUUUCGCACACGGAGGUGCCUCGCAAAGUUUCGCGCCAUUCUGAGUCCGGCGGACGAAGUAGGCCAGCCCCACCCCCCAAGGCUAUAGCCCACCCGUUUUUGUGGGCUUUUUCCGCUGGACGAACUCGGCGCCCCGGCCUUCGUGCGGUUAUUUUUGGGCACAGCUGUGCCCGCAGCCUAUUUUUGGCAUACGGAGGCGCCUCACAAAAUCUCGCGCCAUUCCGAGUCAGGCGGACGAAGUUGGCCAGCCCCACCCCCCAAGGCUAUAGCCCACCCGUUUUUGCGGUGUUUUUCCGCUGGACGAACUUGGCGCCCCGGCCUUCGGGCAGUUAUUUUUGGGCGCGGCUGUGACCGCGGCCUAUUUUUGGCACACGGAGCUGCCUCGCAAAUUCUCGCGCCAUUCUGAGUCCGGCGGACGAAGUUGGCCAGCCCAACCCACCAAGUCUAUAGCCCACCCGUUUUUGUGGGCUUUUUCGGCUGGACGAACUUGGCGCCCCAGCCAUCGGGUGGUUAUUUUUGGGCGCGGCUGAGCCCGCGGCCUAUUUUUGGCACACGAAGGCGCCUCGUAAAGUCUGGCGUCAUUCCGAGUCCGGCGGACAAAGUUGGCCAGUCCCACCCCCCAAGGCUAUAGCCCAACCGUUUUUGUGGGCUUUUUCCGCUGGACGAACUUGGCACCCCGGCCAUCGGGCGGUUAUUUUUGUACGUGGCUGUGCCCGCGGCCUAUUUUUGGCACAUGGAGGCACCUCGCAAAGUCUCGCGCCAUUCCGAGUCCGGCGGACGAAGUUUGCCAGCCCCACCCCCCAAGGCUAUAGCCCACCCGUUUUUGUCGCAUUUUUCCACUGGACGAACUUGGCGCCCCGGCCUUCGGGCGGUUAUUUUUGGGCGCGGCAUCGUCCGCGGCCUAUUUUUCGCACACGGAGGUGCCUCGCAAAGUUUCGCGCCAUUCUGAGUCCGGCGGACGAAGUUGGCCAGCCCCACCCCCCAAGGCUAUAGCCCACCCGUUUUUGUGGGCUUUUUCCGCUGGACGAACUCGGCGCCCCGGCCUUCGUUCGGUUAUUUUUGGGCACAGCUGUGCCUGCAGCCUAUUUUUGGCACACGGAGGCGCCUCGCAAUGUCUCGCGCCAUUCCGAGUCCGGCGGACGAAGUUUGCCAGCCCCACCACCCAAGGCUAUAGCCCACCCGUUUUUGUGGCCUUUUUCCGCUGGAUGAACUUGGCGCCCCGGCCUUCGGGCUGUUAUUUUUGGGUACGGCUGUGCCCGCGGCCUAUUUUUGGCACAUGGAGGCGCCUUGCAAAGUCUCGCGCCAUUCCGAGUCCGGCGGACGAAGUUUGCCAGCCCCACCCCCCAAGGCUAUAGCCCACCCGUUUUUGUCGCAUUUUUCCGCUGGACGAACUUGGCGCCCCGGCCUUCGGGCGUUUAUUUUUGGGCGCGGCAUCGCCCGCGGUCUAUUUUUCGCACAUGGAGGUGCCUCGCAAAGUUUCGCGCCAUUCUGAGUCCGACGGACGAAGUUGGNNNNNNNNNNNNNNNNNNNNNNNNNNNNNNNNNNNNNNNNNNNNNNNNNNNNNNNNNNNNNNNNNNNNNNNNNNNNNNNNNNNNNNNNNNNNNNNNNNNNNNNNNNNNNNNNNNNNNNNNNNNNNNNNNNNNNNNNNNNNNNNNNNNNNNNNNNNNNNNNNNNNNNNNNNNNNNNNNNNNNNNNNNNNNNNCCCCCAAGGCUAUAGCCCACCCGUUUUUGUGGCCUUUUUCCACGGACGAACUUGGCGCCCCGGCCUUCGGGAAGUUAUUUUUGGGCGGGGCUGUGCCCGUGGCCUAUUUUUUGCACACGGAGGCACCUCGCAUAGUCUCGUACCAUUCCGAGUCCGGCGGACGAAGUUGGCAAGCCCCACCCAAAAAGGCUAUAGCCCACCCGUUUUUGUGGCCGUUUUCCGCUGGACGAACUUGGUCCCCCGGCCUAUUUUUGGCACACGGAGGCCCCUCGCAAAGUUUCGCGCCAUUCCGAGUCCGGCGGACGAAGUUGGCCAGCCCCACCCCCCAAGGCUAUAGCCCACCCGUUUUUGUGGCCUUUUUCCGCUGGACGAACUUGGCGCCCCGGCCUUCGGGCGGUUAUUUUUGGGUGCCGCUUUACCCGCGGCCUAUUUUUUGUACACCGAGGCCCCUCGCAAAGUCUCGCGGCAUUCCGAGUCCGGCGGACGAAGUUGGCAAGCCCCAUCCAAAAAGGCUAUAGCCCACCCGUUUUUGUGGCCGUUUUCCGCUGGACGAACUUGGUCCCCCGGCCUAUUUUUGGCACACGGAGGCCUCUCGCAAAGUCUCGCGGCAUUCCGAGUCCGGCGGACAAAGUUGGCCAGCCCCACCCCCUCAAGGCUAUAGCCCAGCCCAUUUUUGUGGCCUUUUUCCGCUGGACGAACUUGGCGCCCCGGCCUUCGGGCGGUUGCUUUAGGGCGCGGCUGUACCCGCGGCCUAUUUUUGGCACACGGAGGCACCUCGCAAAGUCUCGCGCCAUUCCGAGUCCGGCGGACGAAGUUGGCCAGCCCCACCCCCCAAGGCUAUAGCCCACCCGUUUUUGCGGGCUUUUUCCGCUGGACGAACUUGGCGCCCCAGCCUUCGGGCGGUUAUUUUUGGGUGCGGCUGCGGCCGUGGCCUAUUUUUGGCACACGGAGGCGCCUUGCAAAGUCUCGCGCCAUUCCGAGUCCGGCGGAGGAAGUCGGCCAACCCCACCCCCCAAGGCUAUAGCCCACCCGUUUUUGUGGCCUUUUUCCGCUGCACGAACUAGGCGCCCCGGCCUUCGGGCGGUUAUUUUUGGGCACGGCUGUGCGCGCGGCCAAUUUUUGGCACACGGAGGUGUCUCACAAAGUCUCGCGCAAUUCCGAGUCCGGCGGACGAAGUUGGCCAGCCCCACCCCCCAAGGCUAUAGCCCACCCGUUUUUGUGGCCUUUUUCCGCUGGACGAACUUGGAGCCCCGGCCCUCGGGCGGUUAUUUUUGGGCGCGGCUUUUCCCGCGCACUAUUUUUGGCACACGGAGGUGCCUCGCAAAGUCUUGCGCCAUUCCGAGUCCGGCGGACGAAGUUGGCCAGCCCCACCCCCCAAGGCUAUAGCCCACCCGUUUUUGUGGCCUUUUUCCGCUGGACGAACUUGGCGCCCCGGCCUUCGGGCGGUUAUUUUUGGGCGCGGCUGUGCCCGCGGCCUAUUUUUGGCACACGGAGGUGCCUCGCAAAGUCUCGCGCCAUUCUGAGUCCGGCGGACGAAGUUGGCCAGCCCCACCCCCCAAGGCUAUAGCCCACCCGUUUUUGUGGCCUUUUUCCGCUGGACGAACUCGGCGCCCCGGCCUUCGUGCGGUUAUUUUUGGGCACAGCUGUGCCCGCAGCCUAUUUUUGGCACACGGAGGCGCCUCGCAAAGUCUCGCGCCAUUCCGAGUCCGGCGGACGAAGUUUGCCAGCCCCACCACCCAAGGCUAUAGCCCACCCGUUUUUGUGGCCUUUUUCCGCUGGACGAACUUGGCGCCCCAGCCUUCGGGCUGUUAUUUUUGGGUGCGGCUGUGCCCGCGGCCUAUUUUUGGCACAUGGAGGCGCCUCGCAAAGUCUCGCGCCAUUCCGAGUCCGGCGGACGAAGUUUGCCAGCCCCACCCCCGAAGGCUAUAGCCCACCCGUUUUUGUCGCAUUUUUCCGCUGGACGAACUUGGCGCCCCGGCCUUCGGGCGGUUAUUUUUGGGUGCGGCAUCGCCCGCGGCCUAUUUUUGGCACGCGGAGGUGCCUCGCAAAGGUUCGCGCCAUUCUGAGUCCGGCGGACGAAGUUGGCCAGCCCCACCCCCCAAGGCUAUAGCCCACCCGUUUUUGUGGCCUUUUUCCGCUGGACGAACUAGGCGCCCCGGCCUUCGGGCGGUUAUUUUUGGGCACGGCUGUGCCCGCGGCCAAUUUUUGGCACACGGAGGUGCCUCGCAAAGUCUCCCGCCAUUCCGAGUCCGGCGGACGAAGUUGGCCAGCCCCACCCCCCAAGGCUAUAGCCCACCCGUUUUUGUGGCCUUUUUCCGCUGGACGAACUUGGCGCCCCGGCCCUCGGGCGGUUAUUUUUGGGUGCGGCUGUGCCCACGGCCUAUUUUUGGCACACGGAGGUGCCUCGCAAAGUCUCACGCCAUUCCGAGUCCGGCAGAUGAAGUUGGCCAGCCCCACCCCCCAAGGCUAUAGCCCACCCAUUUUUGUGGGCUUUUUCCGCUGGACGAACUUGGCGCCCCGGCCUUCGGGCGGUUAUUUUUGGGCGCGGCUGUGCCCGCGGCCUAUUUUUGGCAUACGGAGGCGCCUCACAAAGUCUCGCCCCAUCCCGAGUCCGGCGGACGAAUUGGGCCAGCCCCACCCCCCAAGGCUAUAGCCCACCCGUUUUUGCGGGCUUUUUCCGCUGGACGAACUUGGCGCCCCCGCCUUCCGGCGGUUAUUUUUUGGCGCGGCNNNNNNNNNNNNNNNNNNNNNNNNNNNNNNNNNNNNNNNNNNNNNNNNNNNNNNNNNNNNNNNNNNNNNNNNNNNNNNNNNNNNNNNNNNNNNNNNNNNNCACGGAGGCACCUCGCAAGGUCUCGCGCCAUUCCGAGUCCGGCGGACGAAGUUGGCCAGCCCCACCCCCCAAGGCUAUAGCCCACCCGUUUUUGCAGGCUUUUUCCGCUGGACGAACUUGGCGCCCCAGCCUUCGGGCGGUUAUUUUUGGGUGCGGCUGCGGCCGUGGCCUAUUUUUGGGACACGGAAGCGCCUUGCAAAGUCUCGCGCCAUUCCGAGCCCGGCGGAGGAAGUCGGCCAACCCCACCCCCCAAGGCUAUAGCCCACCCGUUUUUGUGGCCUUUUUCCGCUGCACGAACUAGGCGCCCCGGCCUUCGGGCGGUUAUUUUUGGGCACGGCUGUGCGCGCGGCCAAUUUUUGGCACACGGAGGUGUCUCACAAAGUCUCGCGCAAUUCCGAGUCCGGCGGACGAAGUUGGCCAGCCCCACCCCCCAAGGCUAUAGCCCACCCGUUUUUGUGGCCUUUUUCCGCUGGACGAACUUGGAGCCCCGGCCCUCGGGCGGUUAUUUUUGGGCGCGGCUUUUCCCGCGCACUAUUUUUGGCACACGGAGGCAACUCGCAAAGUUUCACGCCAUUCCGAGUCCGGCGGAUGAAGUUGGCCAGCCCCACCCCCCAAGGCUAUAGAACACCCGUUUUUGUGGGCUAUUUCCGCUGGAUGAACUAGGCGCCCCGGCCUUCGGGCAGUUAUUUUUGGGCAUAGCUGUGCCCGCGGCCUGUUUUUGGCACACGGAGGCACCUCGCAAAGUCUCGCACCAUUCCGAGUCAGGCAGGCGAAGUUGCCCAGCCCCACCCCCCAAGGCUAUAGCCCACCCGUUUUUGUGGCCUUUUUCCACUGGACGAACUUGGCGCCCCGGCCUACGGGGGGAUAUUUUUGGGCGUGGCUGUGCCCGUGGCCUAUUUUUGGCACACGGAGGUGCCUCGCAAAGUCUCGCGCCAUUCCGAGUCCGGCGGACGAAGUUGGCCAGCCCCACCCCCGAAGGCAAUAGCCCACCCGUUUUUGUGGCCUUUUUCCGCUGGACGAACAUGGCGCCCCGGCCUUCGGACGGUUAUUUUUAUGCGUGGCUGUGCCCGUGGCCUAUUCUUGGCACACGGAGGCACCUCGCAAAGUCUCGCGCCAUUCGGCAUCCGGCGGACGAAGUUGGCUUGCCCCACCCCCCAAGGCUAUAGCCCACCCGUUUUUGCAGGCUUGUUCCGCUGGACGAACUUGGCGCCACGGCCUUCAUGCGGUUAUUUUUGGGCGCGGCUGUCCCCGCGGCCUAUUUUUGGCAUACGGAGGCGUCACACAAAAUCUCGCGCCAUUCCGAGUCAGGCGGACGAAGUGGGCCAGCCCCACCCCCUAAGGCUAUAGCCCACCCGUUUUUGUGGGCUUUUUCCGCUGGACGAACUUGGCGCCCCGGCCUUCGGGCAGUUAUUUUUGGGCGCGGCUGCGACCGCGGCCUAUUUUUGGCACUCGGAGCUGCCUCGCAAAUUCUCGCGCCAUUCUGAGUCCGGCGGACGAAGUUGGCCAGCCCAACCCCCCAAGUCUAUAGCCCACCCGUUUUUGUGGGCUUUUUCGGCUGGACGAACUUGGCGCCCCGGCCAUCGGGUGGUUAUUUUUGGGCGCGGCUGAGCCCGCGGCCUAUUUUUGGCACACGAAGGCGCCUCGCAAAGUCUGGCGGCAUUCCGAGUCCGGCGGACGAAGUUGGCCAGCCCCACCCCCAAGGCUAUAGCCCACCCGUUUUUGUGGCCUUUUUCCACUGGACGAACUUGGCGCCCUGGCCUUCGGUUGGUUAUUUUUGUGCGCGGCUGUGCCCGCGGCCUAAUUUUCGUACACGGAGGUGCCUCGCAACGUCUCACGCCAUUUCGAGUCCGGUGGACGAAGUUGGCCCGCCCCACCCCCCAAGGCUAUAGCCUACCCGUUUUUGUGGCCUUUUUCGGCUGGACGAACUUGGCGCCCCGGCCUUCGGGCGGUUAUUUUUGGGCGUAGCUGUGUUCGCGGCCUAUUUUUGGCACACAGAGGCGCCUCGCAAAGUCUCGCGCCAUUCCGAGUCCGGCGGACGAAGUUGGCCAGCCCCACCCCCCAAGGCUAUAGCCCAUCCGUUUUUGUGGCCUUUUUCCGCUGGACGAACUUGGCGCCCCGUCCUUCGGGCGGUUAUUUUUGGGCGCGGCUGUGCCCGCGGCCUAUUUUUGGCACAUGGACGCGCAUCGCAAAGUCUCGCGCCAUUCCGAGUCCGGCGGACGAAGUUUGCCAGCCCCACCCCCCAAGGCUAUAGCCCACCCGUUUUUGUGGCCUUUUUCCGCUGGACGAACUUGGCGCCCCGGCCUUCGGGCGGUUAUUUUUGGGCGCGGCUGUGCCCGCGGCCUAUUUUUGGCACACGAAGGUGCCUCAAAAAUUCUCGCACCAUUCUGAGUCCGGCGGACGAAGUUGGCCAGCCCCACCCCCCAAGGCUAUAGCCCACCCGUUUUUGUGGGCUUUUUCGGCUGGACAAACUUGGCGCCCCAGCCAUCGGGUUGUUUUUUUUGGGCGCGGCUGUGCCCGUGGAUUAUUUUUGGCACACGAAGGCGCCUCGCAAAGUCGGGCGGCAUUCCGAGUCCGGCGGACGGAGUUGGCCAGCCCCACCCCACAAGGCUAAGCCCACCCGUUUUUGUGGCGUUUUUCCGCUGGACGAACUUGGCGCCCCGGCCUUCGGACCGUUAUUUUUCGGCGUGGCUGUGCCCAUGGCCUAUUUUUGGCACACGGAGUCACCUCGCAAAGUCUCGCGCCAUUCCGAGUCCGGCGGACGAAGUUGGCCAGCCCCACCCCACAAGGCUAUAACCCACCCGUUUUUGUGGCCUUUUUCUGCUGGACGAACUUGGCGUCCCGGCCUUCGGGCGGUUAUUUUUGGGCGCGGCUGUGCCCGCGGCCUAUUUUUUGCACACGUAGGCACCUCGCAAAGUCUCGCACCAUUCCGAGCCCGGCGGACGAAAUUGGCCAGCCCCAUCCCCCAAGGCUAUAACCCACCCGUUUUUGUGGCCUUUUUCCGCUGGACGAACUUGGCGCCCCGGCCUUCGGGCGGUUAUUGUUGGGCACGGCUGUGCCCGCGUCCUAUUUUUGGCACACGGAGGCACCUUGCAAAGUCUCGCGCCAUUCCGAGUCCGGCGGACGAAGUUGGCCAGCCCCACCCCCCAAGGCUAUAGCCCACCCGUUUUUGUGGCCUUUUUCCGCUGGACGAACUUGGCGCCCCGGCCUUCGGGCGGUUAUUUUUGGGCGCGGCUGUGUCAAUGGCCUAUUUUUGGCACACGGAGUCGCCUCGCAAAGUCUCGCGCCAUUCCGGGUCCGGCGGACGAAGUUGGCCAGCCCCACCCAACAAGGCUAUAACCCACCCGUUUUUGUGGCCUUUUUCCGCUGGACGAACUGGGCGGCCCGGCCUUCGGGUGGUUAUUUUUUAGCGCGGCUGUGACCGUGGCCUAUUUCUAGCACACGGAGCCGCCUUGCAAAGUCUCGCGCCAUUCCGAGUCCGGCGGAAGAAGUUGGCAAGCCCCACCCCCCAAGCCUAUAGCCUACCCGUUUUUGUGGCCUUUUUCCGCUGGACGAAUUUGGCGCCCCGGCCUUCGGGCGGUUAUUUUUGGGCACGGCUGUGCCCCCGGCCUAUUUUUGGCACAUGGAGGUGCCUCGCAAAGUCUCGCGCCAUUCCGAGUCCGGAGGACUUAGUUGGCCGGGCCCACCCCCCAAGGCUAUAGCCCAUCCGUUUUUGUGGCGUUUUUCCGCUGGACGAACUUGGCGCCCCGGCCUUCAGGCGGUUAUUUUUGGGCGUGGCUGUGCCCAUGGCCUAUUUUUGGCACACGGAGUCACCUCGCAAAGUCUCGCGCCAUUCCGAGUCCGGCGGACGAAGUCGGCCAGCCCCACCCCACAAGGCUAUAACCCACCCGUUUUUGUGGCCUUUUUCCGCUGGACGAACUUGGCGCCCCGGCCUUCGGGCGGUUAUUGUUGGGUACGGCUGUGCCCGUGUCCUAUUUUUGGCACACGGAGGCGCCUCGCAAAGUCUCGCGCCAUUUCGAGUCCGGCGGACGAAGUUGGCCAGCCCCACCCCACAAGGCUAUAGCCCACCCGAUUUUGAGGCCUUUUUCCGCUGGACGAACUUGGCGCCCCGGCCUUCGGGCGGUUAUUGUUGGGCACGGCUGUGCCCGCGUCCUAUUUUUGGCACACGGAGGCACCUUGCAAAGUCUCGCGCCAUUCCGAGUCCGGCGGACGAAGUUGGCCAGCCCCACCCCCCAAGGCUAUUGCCCACCCGUUUUUGUGGCCUUUUUCCGCUGGACGAACUUGGCGCCCCGGCCUUUGGGCGGUUAUUUUUGGGCGCGGCUGUGCCCGCGGCCUAUUUAUGGCACACGGAGGCACCUCGCAAAGUCUCGCACCAUUCCGAGCCCGGCGGGCGAAAUUGGCCAGCCCCAUCCCCCAAGGCUAUAACCCACCCGUUUUUGUGGCCUUUUUCCGCUGGACGAACUUGGCGCCCCCGCCAUCGGGUGGUUAUUUUUGGGCGCGGCUGAGCCCGCGGCCUAUUUUUGGUCCACGAAGGCGCCUCGCAAAGUCUGGCGGCAUUCCGAGUCCGGCGGACGAAGUUGGCCAGCCCCACCCCCCAAGGCUAUAGCCCACCCGUUUUUAUGGGCUUUUUCCGCUGGACGAACUUGGCGCCCCGGCCUUCGGGCGGUUAUUUUUGUGCGCGGCUGUGACCGCGGCCUAUUUUUUGCCCACGGAGGCGCCUCGCAAAGUCUCGCGCCAUUCCGAGUCCGGCGGACGAAGUUUGCCAGCCCCACCCCCCAAGGCUUUAGCCCACCCGUUUUUGUGGCCUUUUUCCGCUGGACGAACUUGGCGCCCCGGCCUUCGGGCGGUUAUUUUUGGGCGCAGCUUCACCCGCGGCCUAUUUUUCGUACACCGAGGCCCCUCGCAAAGUCUCGCGGCAUUCCGAGUCCGGCGGACGAAGUUGGCCUGCCCCACCCCGCAAGGCUAUAGCCCACCCGUUUUUGCGGGCUUUUUCCGCUGGACGAACUUGGCGCCCCGGUCUUCGGGCAGUUAUUUUUGGGCGAGGCUGCGACCGCGUCCUAUUUUUGGCACACGGAGGUGCCUCGCAAAUUCUCGCGCCAUUCUGAGUCCGUCGGACGAAGUUGGCCAGCCCAACCCCCCAAGUCUAUAGCCCACCCGUUUUUGUGGGCUUUUUCGGCUGGACGAACUUGGCGCCCCGGCCAUCGGGUGGUUAUUUUUGGGCGCGGCUGAGUCCGCGGCCUAUUUUUGGCACACGAAGGCGCCUCGCAAAGUCUGGCGGCAUUCCGAGUCCGGCGGACAAAGUUGGCCAGCCCCACCCCCCAAGGCUAUAGCCCAACCGUUUUUGUGGGCUUUUUCCGCUGGACGAACUUGGCGCCCCGGCCAUCGGGCGGUUAUUUUUUUACGCGGCUGUGCCCGCGGCCUAUUUUUGGCACAUGGAGGCACCUCGCAAAGUCUUGCGCCAUUCCGAGUCCGGCGGACGAAGUUGGCAAGCCCCACCCCCCAAGCCUAUAGCCUACCCGUUUUUGUGGCCUUUUUCCGCUGGACGAACUUGGCGCCCCGGCCUUCGGGUGGUUAUUUUUUAGCGCGGCUGUGACCGUGGCCUAUUUUUAGCACACGGAGCCGCCUUGCAAAGUCUCGCGCCAUUCCGAGUCCGGCGGACGAAGUUGGCAAGCCCCACCCCCCAAGGCUAUAGCCUACCCGUUUUUGUGACCUUUUUCCGCUGGACGAACUUGGCGCCCCGGCCUUCGGGCAGUUAUUUUUGGGCGCGGCUGUGCCCGCGGCCUAUUUUUGGCACACGGAGGUGCCUCGCAAAGUCUCGCGCCAUUCCGAGUCCGGCGGACUUAGUUGGCCAGGCCCACCCCCCAAGGCUAUAGCCCAUCCGUUUUUGUGGCCUUUUUCCGCUGGACGAACUUGGCGCCCCGGCCUUCGGGCGGUUAUUUUUGGGCGUGGCUGUGCCAAUGGCCUAUUUUUGGCACACGGAGUCGCCUCGCAAAGUCUCGCGCCAUUCCGGGUCCGGCGGACGAAGUUGGCCAGCCCCACCCAACAAGGCUAUAACCCACCCGUUUUUGUGGCCUUUUUCCGCUGGACGAACUUGGCGCCCCGGCCUUCGGGCGGUUAUUUUUGGGCGUGGCUGUGCCCGCGGCCUAUUUUUGGGACACGGAGGUGCCUCGCAAAGUCUCGCGCCAUUCCGAGUCCGGAGGACUUAGUUGGCCGGGCCCACCCCCCAAGGCUAUAGCCCAUCCGUUUUUGUGGCGUUUUUCCGCUGGACGAACAUGGCGCCCCGGCCUUCGGGCGGUUAUUUUUGGGCGUGGCUGUGCCCAUGGCCUAUUUUUGGCACACGGAGUCACCUCGCAAAGUCUCGCGCCAUUCCGAGUCCGGCGGACGAAGUCGGCCAGCCCCACCCCACAAGGCUAUAACCCACCCGUUUUUGUGGCCUUUUUCCGCUGGACGAACUUGGCGCCCCGGCCUUCGGGCGGUUAUUGUUGGGCACGGCUGUGCCCGCGUCCUAUUUUUGGCACACGGAGGCACCUUGCAAAGUCUCGCGCCAUUCCGAGUCCGGCGGACGAAGUUGGCCAGCCCCACCCCCCAAGGCUAUUGCCCACCCUUUUUUGUGGCCUUUUUCCGCUGGACGAACUUGGCGCCCCGGCCUUUGGGCGGUUAUUUUUGGGCGCGGCUGUGCCCGCGGCCUAUUUUUGGCACACGGAGGCACCUCGCAAAGUCUCGCACCAUUCCGAGCCCGGCGGGCGAAAUUGGCCAGCCCCAUCCCCCAAGGCUAUAACCCACCCGUUUUUGUGGCCUUUUUCCGCUGGACGAACUUGGCGGCCCGGCCUUCGGGUGGUUAUUUUUUAGCGCGGCUGUGACCGGGGCCUAUUUUUAGCACACGGAGCCGCCUUGCAAAGUCUCGCGCCAUUCCGAGUCCGGCGGACGAAGUUGGCAAGCCCCACCCCCCAAGGCUAUAGCCUACCCGUUUUUGUGGCCUUUUUCCGCUGGACGAACUUGGCGCCCCGGCCUUCGGGCAGUUAUUUUUGGGCGCGGCUGUGCCCGCGGCCUAUUUUUGGCACACGGAGGUGCCUCGCAAAGUCUCGCGCCAUUCCGAGUCCGGCGGACUUAGUUGGCCAGGCCCACCCCCCAAGGCUAUAGCCCACCCGUUUUUGUGGCCUUUUUCCGCUGGACGAACUUGGCGCCCCGGCCUUCGGGCGGUUGUUUUUGGGCGCGGCUUUGUCCGUGGCCUAGUUUUGGCACACGGAGGCCCCUCCCAAAGUCUCGCGGCAUUUCGAGUCCGGCGGACGAAGUUGGCCAGCCACACCCCCCAAGGAUAUAGCCCACCCGUUUUUGUGGCCUUUUUCCGCUGGACGAACUUGGCGCCCCGGCCUUCGGGCGGUUAUUUUUUGGUGCGGCAAUAUCCGCGGCCUAUUUUUAGCACACGGAGGCCCCUCGCAAAGUCUCGCGGCAUUCCGAGUCCGGCGGACGAAGUUGGCCAGCCCCACCCCCCAAGGCUAUAGCCCACCCAAUUUUGUGGCCUUUUUCCGCUGGACGAACUUGGCGCCCCGGCCUUUGGGCGGUUAUUUUUGGGCACGGCUUAGGCCGCGGCCUAUUUUUGGCACAUGGAGGCCCCUCCCAAAGUCUCGCGGCAUUCCGAGUCUGGCGGACGAACUUGGCCAGCCCCACCCCCCAAGGCUAUAGCCCAAUCGUUUUUGUGGCCUUUUUCCGCUGGACGAACUUGGCGCCCCGGCCUUCGGACUGUUAUUUUUUGGCGCGGCAUUGCCCGCGGCCUAUUUUUGGCACACGGAGGCCCCUCCCAAAGUCUCGCGGCAAUCCGAGUCCGGCGGACGAAGUGGGCCUGCCCCACCCCCCAAGGCUCAAGCCCACCCGUUUUUCUGGCCUUUUUCCGCUGGACGAAUUUGGCGCUCCGGCCUUCGGGCGGUUAUUUUUGGGCGCGGAUUUGCCCGCGGCCUAUUUUUCACACACGGAGGCCCCUCGCAAAGUCUCGCGGCAUUCCGAGGCCGGCGGACGAAGUGGGCCAGCCCCACCCCUCAAGGCUAUAGCCCACCCGUUUUUGUGGCCGUUUUACGCUGGACGAACUUGGCGCCCCGGCCUUCGGGCGGUUAUUUUUGGGUGCGGCUUUGUCCGCGGCCUACUUUUGGCACACGGAGGCCCCUCGCAAAGUCUCGCGGCAUUCCGAGGCCGGCGGACGAAGAUGGCCAGCCCCACCCCCCAAGGCUAUAGCCCACCCGUUUUUGUGGCCUUUUUCCGCUGGAUGAACUUGGCGCCCCGGCCUUCGGGCGGUUAUUUUUGUGCGCGACUUUGCCCGCGGCCUAUUUUUGGCACACGGAGGCCCCUCGCAAAGUCUCGCGGCAUUCCGAGUCCGGCGGACGAAGUUGGCCAGCCCCACCCCCCAAGGCUCUAGCCCACCCGUUUUUCUGGCCGUUUUCCGCUGGACGAACUUGGCGCCCCGGUCUUCGGGAGGUUAUUUUUGGGCGCGGCUUUGUCCGCGGCCUAUUUUUCAUACACGGAGGCCCCUCGCAAGGUCUCGCGGCAUUCCGAGUCCGGCGGACGAAGUUGGCCAGUCCCACCCCCCAAGGCUAUAGCCCACCCGUUUUUGUGGCCGUUUUCCGCUGGACGAACUUGGCGCCCCGGCCUUCGGGCGGUUAUUUUUGGGCGCGGCUUUGUCCGCGGCCUAUUUUUGGUACACGGAGGCCCCGCGCCAAGUCUCGCGGCAUUCCGAGUCCGGCGGACGAAGUGGGCCGGCCCCACCCCCCAAGGCUAUAGCCCACCCAUUUUUGUGGCCUUUUUCCGCUGGACGAACUUGGCGCCCCGGCCUUCGGGCGGUUAUUUUUGGGCGCGGCUUUGCCCGCAGCCUAUUUUUGGCACACGGAUGCCCCUCGCAAAGUCUCGCGGCAUUCCUUGUCCGGCGGACGAAGUGGGCCGGCCCCACCCCCCAAGGCUAUAGCCCACCCUUUUUUGUGCCCUUUUUCCGCUGGACGAACUUGGCGCCCUGGCCUUCGGGCGGUUAUUUUUGGGCGCGGAUUCACCCGCAGCCUAUUUUUGGCACACGGAGGCCCCUCGCAAAGUCUCGCGGCAUUCCGAGUCCGGCGGACGAAGUGGGCCGGCUCCACCCCCCAAGGCUAUAGCCCACCCGUUUUUGUGGGCUUUUUCCGCUGGACGAACUUGGUGCCCCGGCCUUCGGGCGGUUAUUUUUGGGCGCGGCUUUGCCCGCGGCCUAUUUUUGGCACACGGACGCACGUCGCAAAGUCUCGCGGCAUUCCGAGUCCGGCGGACGAAGUGGGCCUGCCCCACCCCCCAAGGCUAUAGCCCACCCGUUUUUCUGGGCGUUUUCCGCUGGACGAACUUGGCGCCCCGGCCUUCGGGCGGUUAUUUUUGGGCGCGGCUUUGUCCGCGGCCUAUUUUUGUUACACGGAGGCCCCUCGCAAAGUCUCGCGGCAUUCCGAGUCCGGCGGACGAAGUUGGCCAUCCCCACCCCCCAAGGCUCUAGCCCACCCGUUUUUCUGGCCUUUUUCCGCUGGACGAAUUUGGCGCCCCGGCCUUCGGGCGGUUAUUUUUGGGCGCGGCUUUGCCCGCGGCCUAUUUUUGACACACGGAGGCCCCUCGCAAAGUCUCGCGCCAUUCCGAGUCCGGCGGACGAAGUUGGCCAGCCCCACCCCCCAAGGCUAUAGCCCACCCAUUUUUGUAGCCUUUUUCCGCCGGACGAACUUUCCGACCCGGCCUUCGGGCAGUUAUUUUUGGACGCGGCUUUGUUCGCGGCCUAUUUUUGGCACACGGAAGCCCCUCGCAUAGUCUCGCGGCAUUCCGAGUCCGGCGGAUGAAGUUGGCCAGCCCCACCCCCCAAGGCUAUAGCCCACCCAUUUUUGUAGCCUUUUUCCGCCGGACCAACUUGCCGCCCCGGCCUUCGGGCAGUUAUUUUUGGACGCGGCUUUGUUCGCGGCCUAUUUUUGGCACACGGAAGCCCCUCGCAUAGUCUCGCGGCAUUCCGAGUCCGGCGGACGAAGUGGGCCAGCCCCACCCCCGAAGGCUAUAGCCCACCCGUUUUUGUGGCCUUUUUCCGCUGGACGAACUUGGCGCCCCGGCCUUCGGGCGGGGGUUUGCCCAUGGCCUAUUUUUGGCACACGGUGGCCCCUCUCAAAGUCUCGCGGCAUUCCGAGUCCGGCGGACGAAGUAGGCCAGCCCCACGCCCCAAGGCUAUAGCCCACCCGUUUUUGUGGCCUUUUUCCGCUGGACGAACUUGGCGCCCCGGCCUUCGAGCUGUUAUUUUUCGGCGCGGCUUUAUCCGCGGCCUAUUUUUGGCACACGGAGGCCCCUCGCAAAGUCUCAUGGCAUUCCGAGUCCGGCGGACAAAGUUGGCCAGCCCCACCCCCCAAGGCUAUAGCCCACCCGUUUUUGUGGCGUUUUUCCGCUGGACAAACUUGGCGCCCCGGCCUUCGGGCAGUUAUUUUUGGGCGCGGCUUUGCCCGCGGCCUAUUUCUUGCACACGGAGGCCCCUCAAGAAGUCUUGCGGCAUUCCGAGUCCGGCGAACGAAGUUGGCCAGGCCCACCCCCCAAGGCUAUAGCCCACCCGUUUUUGUGGCCUUUUUCCGCUGGACGAACUUGGCACCCCGGCCUUUGGCCGGGGCUUUGCCCGUGGCUUAUUUUUUGCACACGGAGGCCCCUCUCAAAGUCUCGCGGCAUUCCGAGUCCGGCGGACGAAGUUGGCCUGCCCCACCCCCCUAGGCUAUAGCCCACCCGUUUUUGCGGCCUUUUUCCGCUGGUCGAACUUGGUGCCCCGGACUUCGGGCGGUUAUUUUUGGGUGCGGCUGUGCCCGCGGCCUAUUUUUAGCACACAGAGGCCGCUCGCAAAGUCUCGCGGCAUUCCGAGUCCGGCGGACGAAGUUGGCCAGCCCCACCCCCCAAGGCUAUACCCCACCCGUUUUUGUGGUGUUUUUCCGCAGGACGAACUUGGCGCCCCGGACUUCGGGCAGUUAUUUUUGGGUGCGGCUGUGCCUGCGGCCUAUUUUUGGUACACUGAGGCCGUUCGCAAAGUCUCGCGCCAUUCCGAGUCCGGCGGACGAAGUCGGCCAGCCCCACCCCCCAAGGCUAUAGCCCACCCGUUUUUUUGGCCUUUUUCCGCUGGAAGAACUUGGCUCCCCAGCCUUCGGGUGCUUAAUUUUGGGCGCGGCUGUGCCUGCGGCCUAUUUUUGGCACACGGAGGCCGCUCGCAAAGUCUCGCGCCAUUCCGAGUCCGGCGGACGAAGUUUGCCAGCCCCACCCCCGAAAGCUAUAGCCCACCUGUUUUUUUGGCCUUUUUCCGCUGGACGAACUUGGCGCCCCGGACUUCGGGCGGUUAUUUUUGGGUGCGGCUGUGCCCGCGGCCUAUUUUUGGCACACGGAGGCCGCUCGCAAAGUCUCUCGCCAUUCCGAGUCCGGUGGACGAAGUUGGCCAGGCCCACCCCCCAAGGCUAUAGCCCACGCGUUUUUGUGGCCUUUUUCCGCUGGACGAACUUGGCGCCCCGGACUUCGGGCAGUUAUUUUUGGGAGAGGCUGUGCCCGCGGCCUAUUUUUGGCACACGGAGGCCGCUCGCAUAGUCUCUCGCCAUUCCGAGUCCGGUGGACGAAGUUGGCCAGGCCCACCCCCCAAGGCUAUAGCCCACGCGUUUUUGUGGCCUUUUUCCGCUGGACGAACUUGGUGCCCCGGACUUCGGGCGGUUAUUUUUGGGAGCAGCUGUGCCCGCGGCCUAUUUUUGGCACACGGAGGCCGCUCGCAAAGUCUUGUGCCAUUCCGAGUCCGGCGGACGAAGUUGGCCAGCCCCACCCCCCAAGGCUAUAGCCCACCCGUUUUUGUGGCCUUUUUCCGCUGGACGAACUUGGCGCCCCGGACUUCGGGCAGUUAUUUUUGGGCGCGGCUGUGCCUGCGGCCUAUUUUUGGUACACAGAGGCUGCUCGCAAAGUCUCGCGCCAUUCCGAGUCCGGCGGACGAAGUUGGCCAGCGCCAGCCCUCAAGGCUAUAGCCCACCCGUUUUUUUGGGUUUUUUCCGCAGGACGAACUUGGCUCCCCGGCCUUCGGGCACUUAUUUUUGGGCGCAGCUGUGCCCAUGGCCUAUUUUUGGUACACGGAGGCCGCUCGCAAAGUCUCGCGCCAUUCCGAGUCCGGCGGACGAAGUUGGCCAGCCCCACCCCCCAAGGCUAUAGCCCAGCCGUUUGGGCGGUUAUUUUUGGGUACGGCUGUGCCCGCGGCCUAUUUUUGGCACACGGAGGCCGCUUGCAAAGUCUCUCACCAUUCCGAGUCCGGUGGACGAAGUUGGCCAGGCCCACCCCCCAAGGCUAUAGCCCACGCGUUUUUGUGGCCUUUUUCCGCUGGACGAACUUGGCGCCCCGGACUUUGGGCGGUUACUUUUGGGAGCGGCUGUGCCCGCGGCCUAUUUUUGGCACACGGAGGCUGCUCGCAAAGUCUAGUGCCAUUCCGAGUCCGGCGGAUGAAGUUGGCCAGCCCCACCCCCCAAGGCUAUAGCCCACCCGUUUUUGCGGCCUUUUUCCGCUGGACGAACUUGGAGCCCCGGACUUCGGGCGGUUAUUUUUGGGCGCGGCUUUGCCCGCGGCCUAUUUUUAGCACACGGAGGCCGCUCGCAAUGUCUCGCGCCAUUCCGAGUCCGGCGGACGAAGUUGGCUAGCCCCACCCCCGAAAGCUAUAGCCCACCCGUUUUUUUGGCCUUUUUCCGCUGGACGAACUCGGCGCCCCGGACUUCGGGCGGUUAUUUUUUGGUACGGCUGUCCCCGCGGCAUAUUUUUGGCACACGGAGGCCGCUCGCAGAGUCUCGCGCCAUUCCGAGUCUGGUGGACGAAGUUGGCCAGGCCCACCCCCCAAGGCUAUAGCCCACGCAUUUUUGUGGCCUUUUUCCGCUGGACGAACUUGGCGCCCCGGACUUCGGGCGGUUAUUUUUUGGGCGCGGCUGUGCCCGCGGUCUAUUUUUGGCACACGGAGGCCGCUCGAAAAGGCUAGUGCCAUUCCGAGUCCGGCGGACGAAGUUGGCCAGCCCCACCCCCCAAGGCUAUAGCCCACCCGUUUUUGUGGCCUUUUUCCGCUGGACGAACUUGGCGCCUCGGCCUUCGGGAGGUUAUUUUUGGGCGCGGCUGUGACCGCGGCCUAUUUUUUGCACAUGGAGGCCGCUCACAAAGUCUCGUGCCAUUCCGAGUCCGGCGGACGAAGUUGGCUAGCCCCACCCCCGAAAGCUAUAGCCCACCCGUUUUUUUGGCCUUUUUCCGCUGGACGAACUUGGCGCCCCGGACUUCGAGCUGUUAUUUUUGGGUACGGCUGUCCCCGCGGCAUAUUUUUGGCACACGGAGGCCGCUCGCAAAGUCUCGCGCCAUUCCGAGUCUGGUCGACGAAGUUGGCCAGGCCCACCCCCCAAGGCUAUAGCCCACGCGUUUUUGUGGCCUUUUUCCGCUGGACGAACUUGGCGCCCCGGACUUCGGGCGGUUAUUUUUUGGGCGCGGCUGUGCCCGCGGUCUAUUUUUGGCACACGGAGGCCGCUCGAAAAGGCUAGUGCCAUUCCGAGUCCGGCGGACGAAGUUGGCCAGCCCCACCCCCCAAGGCUAUAGCCCACCCGUUUUUGUGGCCUUUUUCCGCUGGACAAACUUGGCGCCCCGGCCUUCGGGAGGUUAUUUUUCGGCGCUACUGUGACCGCGGCCUAUUUUUGGCACAUGGAGGCCGCUCGCAAAGUCUCGCGCCAUUCCGAGUCCGGCGGACGAAGUUGGCUAGCCCCACCCCCGAAAGCUAUAGCCCACCCGUUUUUUUGGACUUUUUCCGCUGGACGAACUUGGCGCCCCGGACUUCGAGCAGUUAUUUUUGGGUAUGGCUGUCCCCGCGGCAUAUUUUUGGCACACGGAGGCCGCUCGCAAAGUCUCGCGCCAUUCCGAGUCUGGUGGACGAAGUUGGCCAGGCCCACCCCCCAAGGCUAUAGCCCACGCGUUUUUGUGGCCUUUUUCCGCUGGACGAACUUGGCGCCCCGGACUUCGGGCGGUUAUUUUUGGGAGCGGCUGUGCCCGCGGCCUAUUUUUGGCACACGGAGGCCGCUCGCAAAGUCUUGUGCCAUUCCCAGUCCGGCGGACGAAGUUGGCCAGCCCCACCCCCCAAGGCUAUAUUCCACCCGUUUUUGUGGAAUUUUUCCGCUGGACGAACUUGACGCCACGGACUUCGGGCGGUAAUUUUUAUGCGCGGCUGUGCCUGCGGCCUAUUUUUGGUACACGGAGGCCACUCGCAAAGUCUCGCGCCAUUCCGAGUCCGGCGGACGAAGUUGGCCUGCCCCACCCCCCAAGGCUAUAGCCCACCCGUUUUUUUUGGCUUUUUCCGCAGGACGAACUUGGCUCCCCGGCCUUCGGGCGCUUAUUUUUAGGCGCAGCUGUGCCCGCGGCCUAUUUUUGGUACACGGAGGCCGCUCGCAAAGUCUCGCGCCAUUCCGAGUCCGGCGGACGAAGUUGGCCUGCCCCACCCCCGCAGGCUAUGGCCCAGCCAUUUUUUUGGCCUUUUUCCGCUGGACGAACUUGGCGCCCCGGACUUCGGGCGGUUAUUUUUGGGCGCGGCUGUGGCCGUGGCCUUUUUUUGGCACACGGAGGACACUUCCAAAGUCUCGCGCCAUUCCGAGUCCGGCGGAAGAAGUUGGCCAGCCCCACCCCUCAAGGCUAUAGCCCACCCGUUUUUUUUGGCUUUUUCCGCAGGACGAACUUGGCGGCCCGGACUUCGGGCGGUUAUUUUUGGGCGCGGCUGUGUCCACGGCCUAUUUUUGGCACACGGAGGUCGCUUCCAAAAUCUCGCGCCAUUCCGAGUCCGGCGGACAAUGUUGGCCAGCCCCACCCCCCAAGGCUAUAGCCCACCCGUUUUUGCGGCCUUUUUCCGCUGGACGAACUUGGUGCCCCGGACUUCGGGCGGUUAUUUUUGAGCGCGGCUGUGCCCGCGGCCUAUUUUUCGCACACGGAGGCCGCUCGCAAUGUCUCGCGCCAUUCCGAGUCCGGCGGACGAAGUUGGCCAGCCCCACCCCCCAAGGCUAUAGCCCACCCGUUUUUGUGGCCUUUUUCUGCUGGACGAACUUGGCGCCCCGGCCUUCGGGAGGUUAUUUUUGGGCGCGGCUGUGCCCGCGGCCUACUUUUGGCACACGGAGGCCGCUCGCAAAGUCUCGCGCCAUUCCGAGUCCGGCGGACGAAGCUGGCCAGCCCCACCCCCCAAGGCUAUAGCCCAGCCGUUUUUUUGGCCUUUUUCCGCUGGACGAACAUGGCGCCCCGGACUUCGGGUGGUUAUUUUUGGGCGCAGCUGUGUCUACGGCCUAUUUUUGGAACAUGGAGGCCGCUCGCAAAGUCUCGCGCCAUUCCGAGUCCGGCGGAUGAAGUUGGCCAGCCCCACCCCCCAAGGCUAUAGCCCACCCGUUUUUGUGGCCUUUUUCCGCUGGACGAACUGGCGCCCCGGCCUUCGGGAGGUUAUUUUUGGGCGCGGCUGUGCCCGCGGCCUACUUUUGGCACACGGAGGCCGCUCGUAAAGUCUCGCGGCAUUCUCAGUCCGGCGGACGAAGUCGGCCAGCCGCACCCCCCAAGGCUAUAGCCCACCCGUUUUUGUGGCCUUUUUCCGCUGGACGAACUUGGCGCCCCGGCCUUCGGGUGGUCAUUUUUGUGCGCGGCUUUGCCCGCGGCCGAUUUUUGCAAACGGAGGUGCCUCGCAAAGUCUCGCGCCAUUCCGAGUUCGGCGGACGAAGUUGGCCAGCCCACCCCCCAAGGCUAUAGCCCACCCGUUUUUUGGCCAUUUUUCCGCUGCGGGGUCUUGGCACCCCGACCUUCGGGGGCUAAUUUUUGGGCGCGGCUGUGCCCGUGGCCUAU
rnacentral:lncRNA from 1 species